CUUAAUCCGCCUAAUCCGUCCUAAUCCGCGCGAUGUUUCCAUAUGCGACGGAUUAAGCCUUAAUCCGCGACUUUUAAUCCGAGUGGAAACACCCCCUAAGUUAUGCCCAUAUGUAUGUAUGUAUGUAUGUAUGUAUGUAUGUAUGUAUGUAUGUAUGUAUGUAUGUAUGUAUGUGUGUAUGUAUGUGUGUAUGUGUGUAUGUAUGUAUGUAUGUAUGUAUGUAUGUAUGUAUGUAUGUAUGUAUGUAUGUAUGUAUGUAUGUAUGUAUGUAUGUAUGUAUGUAUGU
rnacentral:lncRNA from 1 species